GGGUUGUGAGGUUAAGUGACUAAGCGUACACGGUGGAUGCCUAGGCAGUCAGAGGCGAUGAAGGGCGUGCUAAUCUGCGAAAAGCGUCGGUAAGGUGAUAUGAACCGUUAUAACCGGCGAUACCCGAAUGGGGAAACCCAGUGUGUUUCGACACACUAUCAUGUCAUGAAUACAUAGUGGCAUGAGGCGAACCGGGGGAACUGAAACAUCUAAGUACCCCGAGGAAAAGAAAUCAACCGAGAUUCCCCCAGUAGCGGCGAGCGAACGGGGAGGAGCCCAGAACCUGAAUCGGCUUGUGUGUUAGUGGAAGCGUCUGGAAAGUCGCGCAGCAAAGGGUGAUAGCCCCGUACACUAAAAUGCACAGGUCGUGAGUUCGAUGAGUAGGGCGGGACACGUGACAUCCUGUCUGAAUAUGGGGGGACCAUCCUCCAAGGCUAAAUACUCCUGACUGACCGAUAGUGAACCAGUACCGUGAGGGAAAGGCGAAAAGAACCCCGGCGAGGGGAGUGAAAUAGAACCUGAAACCGUGUACGUACAAGCAGUGGGAGCACCUUCGUGGUGUGACUGCGUACCUUUUGUAUAAUGGGUCAGCGACUUAUAUUUUGUAGCAAGGUUAACCGUAUAGGGGAGCCGUAGGGAAACCGAGUCUUAACUGGGCGAAUAGUUGCAAGGUAUAGACCCGAAACCCGGUGAUCUAGCCAUGGGCAGGUUGAAGGUUGGGUAACACUAACUGGAGGACCGAACCGACUAAUGUUGAAAAAUUAGCGGAUGACUUGUGGCUGGGGGUGAAAGGCCAAUCAAACCGGGAGAUAGCUGGUUCUCCCCGAAAGCUAUUUAGGUAGCGCCUCGUGAACUCAUCUUCGGGGGUAGAGCACUGUUUCGGCUAGGGGGCCAUCCCGGCUUACCAAACCGAUGCAAACUCCGAAUACCGAAGAAUGUUAUCACGGGAGACACACGGCGGGUGCUAACGUCCGUCGUGAAGAGGGAAACAACCCAGACCGCCAGCUAAGGUCCCAAAGUCAUGGUUAAGUGGGAAACGAUGUGGGAAGGCAUAGACAGCCAGGAUGUUGGCUUAGAAGCAGCCAUCAUUUAAAGAAAGCGUAAUAGCUCACUGGUCGAGUCGGCCUGCGCGGAAGAUGUAACGGGGCUAAACCAUGCACCGAAGCUGCGGCAGCGACGCUUAGGCGUUGUUGGGUAGGGGAGCGUUCUGUAAGCCGUUGAAGGUGGCCUGUGAGGGUUGCUGGAGGUAUCAGAAGUGCGAAUGCUGACAUAAGUAACGAUAAAGCGGGUGAAAAGCCCGCUCGCCGGAAGACCAAGGGUUCCUGUCCAACGUUAAUCGGGGCAGGGUGAGUCGACCCCUAAGGCGAGGCUGAAAAGCGUAGUCGAUGGGAAACAGGUUAAUAUUCCUGUACUUGGUGUUACUGCGAAGGGGGGACGGAGAAGGCUAGGCU
rnacentral:rRNA from 1 species